CGGGUGAGUAAUGCGUGACCAACCUGCCCCAUGCUCCAGAAUAGCUCUUGGAAACGGGUGGUAAUGCUGGAUGCUCCAACUUGACGCAUGUCUUGUUGGGAAAGUGUUUAGUGGCAUGGGAUGGGGUCGCGUCCUAUCAGCUUGUGGGCGGGGUAAUGGCCCACCUAGGCUUCGACGGGUAGCCGGCCUGAGAGGGCGGACGGCCACAUUGGGACUGAGAUACGGCCCAGACUCCUACGGGAGGCAGCAGCU
rnacentral:rRNA from 1 species